rnacentral:rRNA from 1 species
AUGCUUAACACAUGCAAGUCGAACGGAAACGAGAAAUAGCUUGCUAUUUCGGCGUCGAGCGGCGGACGGGUGAGUAAUGCUUGGGAAUAUGCCUUUGAGUGGGGGACAACAGUUGGAAACGACUGCUAAUACCGCAUAACGUCUACGGACCAAAGGGGGGGAUGCUUCGGCACCUCUCGCUCAUAGAUUAGCCCAAGUGAGAUUAGCUAGUUGGUAAGGUAAGAGCUUACCAAGGCGACGAUCUCUAGCUGGUUUGAGAGGAUGAUCAGCCACACUGGGACUGAGACACGGCCCAGACUCCUACGGGAGGCAGCAGUGGGGAAUAUUGCACAAUGGGGGAAACCCUGAUGCAGCCAUGCCGCGUGUGUGAAGAAGGCCUUCGGGUUGUAAAGCACUUUCAGUUGUGAGGAAAGGGAUGUAGUUAAUAGCUGCAUUCUGUGACGUUAGCAACAGAAGAAGGACCGGCUAACUCCGUGCCAGCAGCCGCGGUAAUACGGAGGGUCCGAGCGUUAAUCGGAAUUACUGGGCGUAAAGCGUGCGUAGGCGGUUUGUUAAGCGAGAUGUGAAAUCCCGGGGCUCAACCUCGGAACUGCAUUUCGAACUGGCAGGCUAGAAUACUGUAGAGGGUGGUGGAAUUUCCAGUGUAGCGGUGAAAUGCGUAGAGAUCGGAAGGAACACCAGUGG